rnacentral:lncRNA from 1 species
CAGACAGCAACUUUUAUUUUCCCCAGCCACCAUAGCCCCACUCAAUAUGACAUUUAGACAGAUGAGCCAGCAAUACAGUAGUUACAUGUGUCUGGGAUUUGUUUUUUAAAUUAUAUGUACCGCUUUUAAUAGCCUGAUUACAGCUGUUCAGUAAGUGAUGCCUCUAGACUGAAGAGGACCGAAAUGAGAAGCAGGCCAGCUAAGAGGGCUGGGAGCAGCACGUUCCCCUUGUUAUUGCCAGCUAGUGGGGAGAGAACAUAUGGCCACUUUACAAAGAGAAUAUUUGAUCAGUGAACAUUGCUGUCUAGUGAACGACGGGGAGGAAAAGGAGACACGAAAUGCAAUAGAGAUGGAUAUGAUGACUAAUUCCUUUCGAUUCAGAGUAUCAUAUUUCAAGUCACAGAUGGACAACCUGCACUGUACUGUCCAUAGACUGCCCAGGCAAUUUUAAAAAUUUAAGACUUGCAUGUUAGAUGUGGUGAAUGGGGAGUUACAUGCAUAUAGCCAAAUCACUCCAGAGGGACAUCCAAAAAUAACGGGAGAGGAUAGAUGCUGCGUAGAUAUAUUCAAGGAAGUCAUAUUUCAUUGGACUUUUUAUUUAAGCAAAUUGAAUGGUGAUGAAAGAAAAAAGCAACUAUAUGGUCAAUAUCUGUCAGAGAGCCUUGUUCAUCAGCAAGGCAAGGAAAUACUCUGUCUGGUAGCUAGGAAUGAAGGAUAAAUUUAAAUGGCCCAGAAGGUAACCUGAUAUUUGCCUAGAGGUCAGAAGCAUGACUGGGAUUAUUUUCCUUUUUUUCAUAGAAAAAGGAAGGCAGCAAUUUCUUCCCAACCAUGGACAUUCUUCAGUCCCUUUCUCUGCAUCUUUUUACUUUCUAACAUUGACAGGUUCUCAUGCAUUGAAAUGUUCAUCCUUUGACCUUAUUUCCUUUAAUAAUUAGCACCUUACUUCUUUUCUAUUUUCUGCUGCCAAAUACUUGAAUGAGAAAUCUAAAGCUACUGCCUUCAUUUUCUCAUCAACCUCCUAACCCCUCUGCAAUCUGGCUUUUAUCCCCACACGGAUACAACUUUCUUAGGCACAAGAGAUCUUUUUUGGGGCAGCAGAAGUGUGCAUUGUGGAUAAAAACCUUGCACCUGGCAUGAGAUUUUAAUUUAAAUCCUUGCUUUUUUGCUUACUAGGAUGUUACUUAAACAUACCAUGCCUCAGUUUCCUCACCUGAGUGGGACUAACAAUGGGACCAACCUCAUAGGUUGGUAUCAAGAUUAACAGACAAAUUGUGUGUAAAUUCCAUAUCAUGCUGUAUUAGUCAGGGUUCUCCAGAGAAACAGAACCAAUAGGAUGUGUGCAUGUGUGUGUGUUUGCAUGUGGAUUUGUGUGGGGCAAGGGGAGAGAAAGUAAGGAAUUGGCUCAAAUGAUUAUGGAGGCUGGCAAGUCCCAAAGUGAGACAGCAAGCUGGAAACCCAGGAGGGCUGAUGGUGUAGUUAUAGUCUGCAGGAAAGUAGGCUUGAGUCCUCGAAAAAGCUGAUGUUUCAGUUUGAGACCAAAGGCAGGAACUAGGGGAAGGGCAGCCUUUUAGUUCUAUUCAGGUCUUUAACCCAUUGGAUAAAACCCACCCUCUUGAAGUCAAAUUGUCCCUGUUUGCAGACGACAUGAUUGUAUAUCUAGAAAACCCCAUUGUCUCAGCCCAAAAUCUC